AUGAACGCUGGCGGCGUGCCUCAUACAUGCAAGUCGCGCGAACGGACGAGAAGCUUGCUUCUCUGAUGUUAGCGGCGGACGGGUGAGUAACACGUGGAUAACCUACCUAUAGGACUGGGAUAACUUCGGGAAACCGUAGCUAAUACCGGAUAAUAUUUUGAACCGCAUGGUUCAAAAGUGAAAGACGGUCUUGCUGUCACUUAUAGAUGGAUCCGCGCUGCAUUAGCUAGUUGGUAAGGUAACGGCUUACCAAGGCAACGAUGCAUAGCCGACCUGAGAGGGUGAUCGGCCACACUGGAACUGAGACACGGUCCAGACUCCUACGGGAGGCAGCAGUAGGGAAUCUUCCGCAAUGGGCGAAAGCCUGACGGAGCAACGCCGCGUGAGUGAUGAAGGUCUUCGGAUCGUAAAACUCUGUUAUUAGGGAAGAACAUAUGUGUAAGUAACUGUGCACAUCUUGACGGUACCUAAUCAGAAAGCCACGGCUAACUACGUG
rnacentral:rRNA from 1 species